GAGUUUGAUCUUGGCUCAGAUUGAACGCUGGCGGCAUGCCUUACACAUGCAAGUCGAACGGCAGCACGGGAGCUUGCUCCUGGUGGCGAGUGGCGAACGGGUGAGUAAUGCAUCGGAACGUAUCCUGGAGUGGGGGAUAACGUAGCGAAAGUUACGCUAAUACCGCAUAUUCUGUGAGCAGGAAAGCGGGGGACCUUCGGGCCUCGCGCUCUUGGAGCGGCCGAUGUCGGAUUAGCUAGUUGGUGAGGUAAAGGCUCACCAAGGCGACGAUCCGUAGCAGGUCUGAGAGGAUGAUCUGCCACACUGGAACUGAGACACGGUCCAGACUCCUACGGGAGGCAGCAGUGGGGAAUUUUGGACAAUGGGGGCAGCCCUGAUCCAGCCAUGCCGCGUGAGUGAAGAAGGCCUCGGUUGUAAG
rnacentral:rRNA from 1 species